rnacentral:rRNA from 1 species
ACUCCUACGGGAGGCAGCAGUGGGGAAUAUUGGGCAAUGGGCGCAAGCCUGACCCAGCCAUGCCGCGUGUGUGAAGAAGGCUUUCGGGUUGUAAAGCACUUUAAGUUGGGAGGAAGGCUGAACGGUUAAUACCCGUUUGGAUUGACGUUACCAACAGAAUAAGCACCGGCUAAUUCCGUGCCAGCAGCCGCGGUAAUACGGAAGGUGCGAGCGUUAAUCGGAAUUACUGGGCGUAAAGCGCACGUAGGUGGUUUGUUAAGUUGGAUGUGAAAGCCCAGGGCUCAACCUUGGAAUUGCAUCCGAUACUGGCAGGCUAGAGUACAGUAGAGGGAGGUGGAAUUUCCGGUGUAGCGGUGAAAUGCGUAGAGAUCGGAAGGAACACCAGUGGCGAAGGCGGCCUCCUGGACUGAUACUGACACUGAGGUGCGAAAGCGU